GCUCCCGUGGCCUAAAGGACAAGGCGUCGGACUUCUAAUCCGAAGACUGCGGGUUCGAGUCCCGUCGGGAGCU
rnacentral:tRNA from 1 species